rnacentral:rRNA from 1 species
CAGCCGCCACGGGAAUACGGAGGGAGCUAGCGUUGUUCGGAAUUACUGGGCGUAAAGCGCACGUAGGCGGCUUUGUAAGUUAGAGGUGAAAGCCUGGAGCUCAACUCCAGAAUUGCCUUUAAGACUGCAUCGCUUGAAUCCGAGAGAGGUGAGUGGAAUUCCGAGUGUAGAGGUGAAAUUCGUAGAUAUUCGGAAGAACACCAGUGGCGAAGGCGGCUCACUGGCUCGGUAUUGACGCUGAGGUGCGAAAGCGUGGGGAGCAAACAGGAUUAGAUACCCGUGUAGUCCCUGUCUCUUAUAC